rnacentral:tRNA from 1 species
GGCGCCGUACCCAAGCGGUAAGGGAGAGGUCUGCAAAACCUUUAUGCAGCAGUUCGAUUCUGCUCGGCGCCUC